ensembl:lncRNA novel transcript, antisense to ZNF630
ACUGAUCACAUAGACCCGCAGCACUCAGCCAGGCCCCUCACCCCGGCUCUGCUCUCAAGCCGGGCUUGGCUCCCCGCCUGCCCAAAUGCGUUCAACAUCCCCCGAAAGGCCAUUUCCCUUCCAGUCUUCCCGGAGAGAUGUCAGGGUGACGAGGGAGCUUAUCUUUCGGUGGCUCCGAAACAGCCACGAAGCCGAGCUCUACCAGUAACAAAAAUGGCGUCAUUCCGCCAGCGCCAGGACCUCUGUCGCUGGCCGUGGUCUCGCACUGCUUCUGGAGGCUCCCAUUCCAGCCAGAGGAGAGACCUAACACCCUACAUGACUGCAUGGGAGAUACGGCCUAUAAGAAGAUGAUUAAGGUUAAUGAUGUCAGAAGGUGGAACCCUGAUUGGAGACAAGUGUAAGAGACCCAAGAGAUUCUCUCUCCGCCAUGUGAUGACACAGCAUGAAGGCAGCCAUCGGCAAGCCAGAAAGAGAGGCUUCACCAGAAACCAAACCUUUCUGGAACCUUGAUCUUGGACUUUCCAGCCUCCAGAACUGUGAGAAAAUAAAUUUCUAUUGUUUAAGCCA